GUUGUCUUUAAUGACCUGGAGUUGUUAUAACAGCUGUCAACUGAGCCCUGUUUCCGGAUAUGCUUAUCUUUGUAGACCAAAAGCACUAAAUGAGGUCCUGUCGGCUGGUACCAGAUGAGAAGAGCCAGUUCCUAUGGUUAAAUGAUCACACAGCAAGGCCAGUGCAGAAAAGCAGCUGGA